UUAAGUUAUUAAGGGCGCACGGUGGAUGCCUUGGCACUAGAAGCCGAUGAAGGACGUUACUAACGACGAUAUGCUUUGGGGAGCUGUAAGUAAGCUUUGAUCCAGAGAUUUCCGAAUGGGGAAACCCAGCAUGAGUUAUGUCAUGUUAUCGAUAUGUGAAUACAUAGCAUAUCAGAAGGCACACCCGGAGAACUGAAACAUCUUAGUACCCGGAGGAAGAGAAAGAAAAUUCGAUUCCCUUAGUAGCGGCGAGCGAAACGGGAAGAGCCCAAACCAAAAAGCUUGCUUGUUGGGGUUGUAGGACACUCUAUACGGAGUUACAAAGGACGACAUUAGACGAAUCAUCUGGAAAGAUGAAUCAAAGAAGGUAAUAAUCCUGUAGUCGAAAAUGUUGUCUCUCUUGAGUGGAUCCUGAGUACGACGGAGCACGUGAAAUUCCGUCGGAAUCUGGGAGGACCAUCUCCUAAGGCUAAAUACUCUCUAGUGACCGAUAGUGAACCAGUACCGUGAGGGAAAGGUGAAAAGCACCCCGGAAGGAGAGUGAAAUAGAACCUGAAACCGUGUGCUUACAAGUAGUCAGAGCCCGUUAAUGGGUGAUGGCGUGCCUUUUGUAGAAUGAACCGGCGAGUUACGAUUUGAUGCAAGGUUAAGCAGUAAAUGUGGAGCCGUAGCGAAAGCGAGUCUGAAUAGGGCGUUUAGUAUUUGGUCGUAGACCCGAAACCAGGUGAUCUACCCUUGGUCAGGUUGAAGUUCAGGUAACACUGAAUGGAGGACCGAACCGACUUACGUUGAAAAGUGAGCGGAUGAACUGAGGGUAGCGGAGAAAUUCCAAUCGAACCUGGAGAUAGCUGGUUCUCUCCGAAAUAGCUUUAGGGCUAGCCUCAAGUGAUGAUUAUUGGAGGUAGAGCACUGUUUGGACGAGGGGCCCCUCUCGGGUUACCGAAUUCAGACAAACUCCGAAUGCCAAUUAAUUUAACUUGGGAGUCAGAACAUGGGUGAUAAGGUCCGUGUUCGAAAGGGAAACAGCCCAGACCACCAGCUAAGGUCCCAAAAUAUAUGUUAAGUGGAAAAGGAUGUGGCGUUGCCCAGACAACUAGGAUGUUGGCUUAGAAGCAGCCAUCAUUUAAAGAGUGCGUAAUAGCUCACUAGUCGAGUGACACUGCGCCGAAAAUGUACCGGGGCUAAACAUAUUACCGAAGCUGUGGAUUGUCCUUUGGACAAUGGUAGGAGAGCGUUCUAAGGGCGUUGAAGCAUGAUCGUAAGGACAUGUGGAGCGCUUAGAAGUGAGAAUGCCGGUGUGAGUAGCGAAAGACGGGUGAGAAUCCCGUCCACCGAUUGACUAAGGUUUCCAGAGGAAGGCUCGUCCGCUCUGGGUUAGUCGGGUCCUAAGCUGAGGCCGACAGGCGUAGGCGAUGGAUAACAGGUUGAUAUUCCUGUACCACCUAUAAUCGUUUUAAUCGAUGGGGGACGCAGUAGGAUAGGCGAAGCGUGCGAUUGGAUUGCACGUCUAAGCAGUAAGGCUGAGUAUUAGGCAAAUCCGGUACUCGUUAAGGCUGAGCUGUGAUGGGGAGAAGACAUUGAGUCUUCGAGUCGUUGAUUUCACACUGCCGAGAAAAGCCUCUAGAUAGAAAAUAGGUGCCCGUACCGCAAACCGACACAGGUAGUCAAGAUGAGAAUUCUAAGGUGAGCGAGCGAACUCUCGUUAAGGAACUCGGCAAAAUGACCCCGUAACUUCGGGAGAAGGGGUGCUCUUUAGGGUUAACGCCCAGAAGAGCCGCAGUGAAUAGGCCCAAGCGACUGUUUAUCAAAAACACAGGUCUCUGCUAAACCGUAAGGUGAUGUAUAGGGGCUGACGCCUGCCCGGUGCUGGAAGGUUAAGAGGAGUGGUUAGCUUCUGCGAAGCUACGAAUCGAAGCCCCAGUAAACGGCGGCCGUAACUAUAACGGUCCUAAGGUAGCGAAAUUCCUUGUCGGGUAAGUUCCGACCCGCACGAAAGGCGUAACGAUUUGGGCACUGUCUCAACGAGAGACUCGGUGAAAUCAUAGUACCUGUGAAGAUGCAGGUUACCCGCGACAGGACGGAAAGACCCCGUGGAGCUUUACUGUAGCCUGAUAUUGAAAUUCGGCACAGCUUGUACAGGAUAGGUAGGAGCCUUUGAAACGUGAGCGCUAGCUUACGUGGAGGCGCUGGUGGGAUACUACCCUAGCUGUGUUGGCUUUCUAACCCGCACCACUUAUCGUGGUGGGAGACAGUGUCAGGCGGGCAGUUUGACUGGGGCGGUCGCCUCCUAAAAGGUAACGGAGGCGCUCAAAGGUUCCCUCAGAAUGGUUGGAAAUCAUUCAUAGAGUGUAAAGGCAUAAGGGAGCUUGACUGCGAGACCUACAAGUCGAGCAGGGUCGAAAGACGGACUUAGUGAUCCGGUGGUUCCGCAUGGAAGGGCCAUCGCUCAACGGAUAAAAGCUACCCCGGGGAUAACAGGCUUAUCUCCCCCAAGAGUUCACAUCGACGGGGAGGUUUGGCACCUCGAUGUCGGCUCAUCGCAUCCUGGGGCUGUAGUCGGUCCCAAGGGUUGGGCUGUUCGCCCAUUAAAGCGGUACGCGAGCUGGGUUCAGAACGUCGUGAGACAGUUCGGUCCCUAUCCGUCGUGGGCGUAGGAAAUUUGAGAGGAGCUGUCCUUAGUACGAGAGGACCGGGAUGGACAUACCUCUGGUGUACCAGUUGUCGUGCCAACGGCAUAGCUGGGUAGCUAUGUGUGGACGGGAUAAGUGCUGAAAGCAUCUAAGCAUGAAGCCCCCCUCAAGAUGAGAUUUCCCAACUUCGGUUAUAAGAUCCCUCAAAGAUGAUGAGGUUAAUAGGUUCGAGGUGGAAGCAUGGUGACAUGUGGAGCUGACGAAUACUAAUCGAUCGAAGACUUAAUCAA
rnacentral:rRNA from 1 species